rfam:Pelecanus crispus contig114020, whole genome shotgun sequence.
GCUCAAUGAUGACAUAAAGGCUAAUGUGACUUGACCAGCUGGGUUGCACCCUCAGCCCAUUCCAGUAAUACGGGUCUGUAAUCUUGGUGGACAAUGCAGAGCUGUGCGUGUUCACUGUAAGGGCAGGCCGACAGAAAAUCCCCUUCCCCGCAUCCCUGGAAAAUACAUUUUUGGGAUGCAUCAGCUCUGAGUGAGUGUUUCUGUGAGCUGACGGGGGGCUGUGGGGAUAGGAUAGGAUAGUGCGUCCAAGGUUUGGGUUGUAGGGGGUAGCCCAUGUCACAGCUGGUGAGAUGUGAGCACACAUCUUUGGUAAUCUGAUGACU